AUGGAGACCAUGAAGCGUUCCAGGGGCCCUGAGCCCGACUGCCCAUCGCCCGCAGCCACUCCAGGAGAGCUUCAAGGAGGGGGCGACAACCUCACCGCAGGUGCCGCAGUAGAUGGUGCAGCGCAGAGGAUUGAAGUAGCAGCGUCCGGGGAGGGUGGCAGCACCGCCGACCUGGGCAGCAGGCUGGCCAUGGGGGUGCGCGGGGACGAAGCCGCAGCAGGGGACGGCGAGCCCGGCUGGAAUGGCUCGGGCAGUCGGGCGUCACAACCAACACGGGAGGCGCAGAGAUGCGCAGGGUCAUCAGGCCGAGACCCAGCCCCACCGCAUCUUUCCAGGCUUCGUUCCGAGCAGGGGAGUCCUGGACAGCGGGAGCCGGUGUUGGCGACGAAGAUGGCGGGCUCGGGAAGUGGAUGCCAGGAUAUGCAGGUGUCGAUCCACGCACAUGUUGCCGGUUCCCAGCAUGCAAAGCGGAUGCACAGAUGA
rnacentral:rRNA from 1 species